rnacentral:rRNA from 1 species
GAUGAACGCUGGCGGCGUGCCUAAUACAUGCAAGUCGAGCGAACAGACGAGGAGCUUGCUACUCUGACGUUAGCGGCGGACGGGUGAGUAACACGUGGAUAACCUACCUAUAAGACUGGGAUAACUUCGGGAAACCGGAGCUAAUACCGGAUAAUAUAUUGAACCGCAUGGUUCAAUAGUGAAAGACGGUCUUGCUGUCACUUAUAGAUGGAUCCGCGCUGCAUUAGCUAGUUGGUAAGGUAACGGCUUACCAAGGCAACGAUGCAUAGCCGACCUGAGAGGGUGAUCGGCCACACUAGAACUGAGACACGGUCCAGACUCCUACGGGAGGCAGCAGUAGGGAAUCUUCCGCAAUGGGCGAAAGCCUGACGGAGCACCGCCGCGUGAGUGAUGAAGGUCUUCGGAUCUUAAAACUCUGUUAUUAGGGAAGAACAAAUGUGUAAGUAACUAUGCACGUCUUGACGGUACCUAAUCAGAAAGCCACGGCUAACUACGUG